GAGAGAUUGGUCUAAAGGUAAGGCAUUCGCUCUGGGAGCGAGAUGAUCUAGGUUCGAGUCCUAGGUCUCCCA